rnacentral:tRNA from 1 species
UGGCUCAGUUGGUAGAGCAUGGUGUUUGCACACCAGGGUUGUGGGUUCGAUUCCCAC